rnacentral:lncRNA from 1 species
CCACCCACAGCCACACUGUCCGUGUUCUACACUUCUACAUCAAUCCACUCUUCCAUCUUCAAUUCUUCAUUCACUCACCAGACACCAAAUUCUCUUCUUUCUUGUUUUAUUUCCACUUCCACUCAUAUUUACUUCCAUCUUAAUUCUUCAAAGCUCAACAAAUUCCAUCUUCGUUUUCACUUCUUCUUCUUCCUUCAACUCUCAUUCUCCACCAUGACAACCAGAUCUCACGACCAUAAUGAGGAUAAACCACCAACUAC